rnacentral:snRNA from 2 species
GCCCUUCCAAUGUACAGAUACCAAAAUUGGAACGAUACAGAGAAGAUUAGCAUGGCACCUGCACAAGGAUGACACGCAAAAUCGUGAAGCGUUCCACAUUUUC